GGGGGGGGGGGGGUGUUUUUUUUGUAAGUAUUUUUUUUUUAUCUUGCUUUUUCUCUUGUGCCCAUUUGUUAGCUCAACAGCCACAUGAUUAUAUUCCUGCUCCGUUACCUCAGAUUAAGUGUGGGUACUGUCACUGCCCUUACUCUGUAUUUGCUAUUAGCGUUAAACAUUAUUUCCAGCAACAUUGGUCUAUUACUGUAUGUGUUUGUUGUGCUUAUGUUAUGGUAAGGGUUAAGUUUGUCUAUCAUCUGCCUGUGAAACAGUUUCAUGGGCUUAAUUGGAUCUGAUAUUGAAUGUGUCAUUGGGUGUAAACAGUAGAACUAUUGUAUUUGAAAGUUGUUCCCUGGCUACCCAAGUUGUCCUUCUGAAGGGGACUGGGGGAGUAGAUCAAAACCUGAGGAUUUGUUGAGUGGAUGGAGAUUGAAUUGUGUUUAUGGACUCUUAUGAGAAAGGAACCACACUAACUUGGCUAUGUAGUCAUGUUGGGGUCACUAUUCUCUGUAAAUAGUUUGCACUACCUGUGGAUACGUAUAUAUAUAUUCUCCCCAUUGGUUAAUUUUGUUUUAUCUGAUGUGAAUCAACUUAAAGUUGGCAAGUGAAAAAAUGUGAGUUGUAUUAAGUCAUACAGAGCUUGUCACAAAUACAAAACAAUAAACAAAAAUAGUGAAUCAAUAAAC